CCAUGCUCCACUAUUUCCUUGUCAUUCUCCUGGGCAUUUUCUUAGGUGUCAGUGCUCAGACGAUCUAUCAGAAUCCACGGACCAGGAUGCAGCAGCGUGUGGAUAGUGCCCUUUCCCUGGAAUGCACAGUGAAGGGAACAUCAAAUCCCAACCUCUACUGGUACCAGCAGACUGCAGGAAGUUGCCCUCCGGCUACUCUUCAUUUCCAUUGAUAUAAACUCGAUAGAGUCUGAGGCACCCCAACACCUUAAAGCCUCCAGACCUCAGGAUGGCCAGUUCUUCCUGACAUCUGAAAAGCUCCUCCAGAAUGAUUCUGGCAUUUAUUUCUGUGCCUGGAGUCUCACACUGAGCCGGAACUCAGAAUUCAAGAAGCACCUCCAUUCCUGUGAACCUGGAACACCACAUGAUGGCAGACACUGCUUACAGAGGCCGCCUCUUGUUCAGCAAGACAGGGCCAUGUCUUUUUUAGGAGAGCUGCCAGGACCUUAUUCUGUCUCUGCCUUUGUAGGUAUGCCUGGACAACAACUGGCAACUGACUUGAUGUGGAAGGUGCAUGUACCCACAUUAUCUAGAAGAGCAUCCCUAACGUCCUCUGGCCUGGAACUCAGCCUCUCAUAG